AUCCAUCUGACGAGUCCCAAAUAGAACGAAACGCGCACACUGGAU
rnacentral:hammerhead_ribozyme from 1 species